rnacentral:lncRNA from 1 species
GUCAACUGUGAUGUGUGGGGUAUGUUGCUUCCUGUAGGUCUACCUCAGGUCUAGUCAACUGUGAUGUGUGGGGUAUGUUGCUUCCUGUAGGUCUACCUCAGGUCUAGUCAACUGUGAUGUGUGGGGUAUGUUGCUUCCUGUAGGUCUACCUCAGGUCUAGUCAACUGUGAUGUGUGGCUAUAUGUUGCUUCUUUACUCCAGAUUUUCAUAUGGUGGCAUUUGAUCAAAAUCUACAUUGGAAAGUUUUGUUUGCCUCCAGUGACCUUCCAUUGAUAUGCCCUGAAUGACCAACUUGUAAACAGCUGAAUGCCUUGUCAUGUUGAUCUUUGUAAGGCCAAUUGGAAAUCAUUACAGCAUCCUGUCCUGUGCUGUGCUGAUACAAUGACAUAUUUUGAUACAUAACCAAACUUCCCUCAAAAGGCCCUUCCUGUCUCUCCUGACAGAAAAAUUGAAGGUUUUCACUCCUGAAAUGGACAUAAUGUCACAUUCGUUUCAACUUAUUAAUAUUCUAUGCAGCUCAUUGAUUUCAGGCAUAGUUAUACAGUUGAUCUGACUAGGGAAAGCUCAGAGCUGUGCGUUUCCCACAUUAUGGCCUUCGGAAGAACCGAGGAGGAAGAUGGCAGGAGGCAUUAGUACUCCAUGGAAACUCAGACAGUCUGUCUGUCUCUCCCAGGCCUCACUGGACCAUCCUCACAGCAGG